rnacentral:misc_RNA from 1 species
GUGAAUCAUCAAAUCUUUGAACGCAAAUUGCACUCCCUGGUAUUCCGGGGAGUAUGCCUGUUUGAGGGUCGUUAGAACAAAAAUCGAUUCGUCGCUCUUUUUUUUAAUGGUGAUCGCGUCGGAAUUGAGCCGUCUUUCAAAUGUUAAUUCAUGUCAAUGUGGUUUGUAAUUCAUCCAUCCGGUACUCUUAAAGCUUAUUUAAUAUCAAUUUUGGUUAUGAACGCGCGAUUAACGUACGAUCACAUGGAGAUCGUUUGACUUUAG